AACCACCAAUCUACUUUCUUUAAGUAUUAAUUAGACAACUUACCAUCUACUUUCUUUAGGCCCUAGCUAUAAGUGAUCAUUGAUUAUCCACCUCUAGUCCAUUUAUAUUCUCAUCAACUUCACAUACUUUAUCUUAGGCAAAAUCUUCCGUUUCUCUUCACACAAAGAAAUCAAAGUGGGAAAAAACACAGAUAAAAGAAAGAAAGAAAAUGAAUUCUCCUCCAAAAUAUCAAAAUAUGUCAUAUUAUGAUCAUGUCCAAAGGCGCCGAGAAGAAAAGGGAUGCCUCUAUGCUUGCAUGUUCACGCUAUGUUGCUGUUUCUGCUGCUACGAAACUUGCGAGAGCUGCUUAGAUUGUGUCUGCUGUUGCCGCACUUGAAGCUAAAAAUUAUGAGUAAUGCAUGCAGUGUGUUUCUAUGUUGCGCGAACUCUCCAAAAUAUUAUUUUACUUGUAUCGGAUCCUCCAAAAAUAUACUGCUUUGGGAGAAUCCCACACGCACCCGACAACAUCUCGUAGAGUCCAAGCAAUGUUUUAUAUCCUUGUAAUUUAAAUUAUUAUAAGAUUGUUAUUAGUAGUUAAUGUUCCAAUAAAAUGGGAUGUUACACAUCACUAUUGUUAAUCUACUACUAUGUUUUAUA